UUGCAUAUCAAAAAGCGGAGGAAAAGAAACCAACCGGGAUUGCCUUAGUAACGGCGAGUGAAGCGGCAAAAGCUCAAAUUUGAAAUCUGGUACCUUCGGUGCCCGAGUUGUAAUUUGGAGAGGGCAACUUUGGGGCCGUUCCUUGUCUAUGUUCCUUGGAACAGGACGUCAUAGAGGGUGAGAAUCCCGUGUGGCGAGGAGUGCGGUUCUUUGUAAAGUGCCUUCGAAGAGUCGAGUUGUUUGGGAAUGCAGCUCUAAGUGGGUGGUAAAUUCCAUCUAAAGCUAAAUAUUGGCGAGAGACCGAUAGCGAACAAGUACAGUGAUGGAAAGAUGAAAAGAACUUUGAAAAGAGAGUGAAAAAGUACGUGAAAUUGUUGAAAGGGAAGGGCAUUUGAUCAGACAUGGUGUUUUGUGCCCUCUGCUCCUUGUGGGUAGGGGAAUCUCGCAUUUCACUGGGCCAGCAUCAGUUUUGGUGGCAGGAUAAAUCCAUAGGAAUGUAGCUUGCCUCGGUAAGUAUUAUAGCCUGUGGGAAUACUGCCAGCUGGGACUGAGGACUGCGACGUAAGUCAAGGAUGCUGGCAUAAUGGUUAUAUGCCGCCCGUCUUGAA
rnacentral:rRNA from 1 species